UACGUAGGGUGCAAGCGUUGUCCGGAAUUAUUGGGCGUAAAGAGCUUGUAGGCGGUUUGUCGCGUCUGCUGUGAAAAUCCGGGGCUCAACCCCGGACUUGCAGUGGGUACGGGCAGACUAGAGUGUGGUAGGGGAGACUGGAAUUCCUGGUGUAGCGGUGAAAUGCGCAGAUAUCAGGAGGAACACCGAUGGCGAAGGCAGGUCUCUGGGCCAUAACUGACGCUGAGAAGCGAAAGCAUGGGGAGCGAACAGG
rnacentral:rRNA from 1 species